rnacentral:rRNA from 1 species
UACGUAGGGUGCGAGCGUUAAUCGGAAUUACUGGGCGUAAAGCGUGCGCAGGCGGCUCUGCAAGUCAGAUGUGAAAUCCCCGGGCUUAACCUGGGAACUGCAUUUGUGACUGCAAGGCUAGAGUACGGUAGAGGGGGAUGGAAUUCCGCGUGUAGCAGUGAAAUGCGUAGAUAUGCGGAGGAACACCGAUGGCGAAGGCAAUCCCCUGGACCUGUACUGACGCUCAUGCACGAAAGCGUGGGGAGCAAACAGG